AGCUUUGCGCAGUGGCAGUAUCGUAGCCAAUGAGGUUUAUCCGAGGCGCGAUUAUUGCUAAUUGUAUUUCCUCUCCAUUCCUCCCAACAAGCUACCCCAAGCUCCCUAGGGCAGGGAUUCUUACAAACAGC
rnacentral:snRNA from 1 species